UGGCUUGAAGCUUAACAUGGGA
rnacentral:miRNA from 1 species